GCCUAGCUCACUCAUUCAGUAGAGCAUGUGACUCUUGAUCUUGGGGUUGUGGGUUUGAGCCCCAUGUUGGGUA
rnacentral:tRNA from 1 species